GUGAAAGAGAAGAGAGAAGUAGAAGAAAGGAGCAGACCACAAGUGAGGAUGCCAGACUACACACAUGUCAUGAUUCACACUUCUUUGUUUGGGGGCAUUCCUCUUCUACCAUAUCCAGUUUCAAAUGGAGCUCCUCUGGAUAAACACUGAAGCUGUAGAGAAGGACUCAGAAAACCUCUGUGACCUGAUUUAAUUUACACCCAAUGAUGUAGUCUUUAGGCUUCAUGUCUGCUCUCAUUGUCCAUUGUCUCAUUCCAUCUAAAUGAAGCUAGAACAUUGAUGCCAGCAAGUACCGCUCUUGGGAGAGUUGGUAGAGUCUGAUUCUGAAAGAAAGCCACUUUUAAACUGAGAAAGGACAAUCUCUCCGUGGAUUAUGAAGAUGAGAACAAAUACAGUGUGGUGUACAGGAAGAAAUGAACCUCAAUCAAGAGUAUCCUGUGCUGCACUUUUCUGUGACAAACUUUUUACAAAGACUAAAUUGCAAGUAAACCAGACGGAAAGUCUGUUGCUUUUUAGUUUUUCUUUUUUUAAUGUUUAUGUUUUUGGUCUUAUUUCCCACUUCUUGGUUCAUUAGAAGGGGCAAUGUUUUUUCAGCUGAAAAUAUAACCAUUCGCAAUAAAGUAACUUCAUCUCCCCACAUAUAAAUUCUCUGACGUGUUUAUUCAAGCAUUUCUUUAGUUCAGUGAAUUUUAUUUCAGAAAUACAGAGUCAGAGAACAACAUAAAUUAACAGACAAUCAGAUAGAUAAAUGUGUGGAGGUUAUAAUUUCUCAGACCUCAAUUUAUUUUGC